rnacentral:rRNA from 1 species
UGGGGAAUAUUGCACAAUGGACGGAAGUCUGAUGCAGCGACGCCGCGUGGGGGAUGAGGGCUUUCGGGUUGUAAACUCCUUUCAGUACAGAAGAAGCUUUAUUGUGACGGUAUGUGCAGAAGAAGCGCCGGCUAACUACGUGCCAGCAGCCGCGGUAAUACGUAGGGCGCGAGCGUUGUCCGGAAUUAUUGGGCGUAAAGAGCUCGUAGGCGGUUUGUCGCGUCUGCUGUGAAAGACCGGGGCUUAACUCCGGGGCUGCAGUGGGUACGGGCAGGCUGGAGUGCGGUAGGGGUAACCGGAAUUCCUGGUGUAGCGGUGGAAUGCGCAGAUAUCAGGAGGAACACCGAUGGCGAAGGCAGGUUACUGGGCCGUUACUGACGCUGAGGAGCGAAAGCAUGGGGAGCGAACAGG